rnacentral:rRNA from 1 species
UGCCAGCCGCCGCGGUAAUACGGAGGGGGCUAGCGUUGUUCGGAAUUACUGGGCGUAAAGCGCACGUAGGCGGACUACUAAGUCAGGGGUGAAAUCCCGGGGCUCAACCCCGGAACUGCCUCUGAUACUGGUAGUCUUGAGUUCGAGAGAGGUGAGUGGAAUUCCGAGUGUAGAGGUGAAAUUCGUAGAUAUUCGGAGGAACACCGAUGGCGAAGGCGACUUCCUGGGCCAAUACUGACGCUGAGGCGCGAAAGCGUGGGUAGCAAACAGGAUUAGAUA